UACGUAGGGGGCAAGCGUUGUCCGGAAUCAUUGGGCGUAAAGAGCGCGUAGGCGGCCCAGUCAGUCCGCUCUGAAAGUCUGGGGCUCAACCCCUGAAUGCGGGUGGAUACUGCUGGGCUAGAGUCCGGAAGAGGCGAGUGGAAUUCCUGGUGUAGCGGUGAAAUGCGCAGAUAUCAGGAGGAACACCGAUGGCGAAGGCAGCUCGCUGGGACGGUACUGACGCUGAGGCGCGAAAGCGUGGGGAGCAAACAGG
rnacentral:rRNA from 1 species